UACGAAGGGGGCUAGCGUUGCUCGGAAUUACUGGGCGUAAAGGGCGCGUAGGCGGCACUGUUAGUCAGGCGUGAAAGUCCUGGGCUCAACCUGGGAACUGCGCUUGAUACGGCAGAGCUAGAGGAUGGAAGAGGGUCGCGGAAUUCCCAGUGUAGAGGUGAAAUUCGUAGAUAUUGGGAAGAACACCAGUGGCGAAGGCGGCUAUCUGGCUUGUAACUGACGCUGAGGCGCGAAGGCUAGGGGAGCAAACAGG
rnacentral:rRNA from 1 species